rnacentral:rRNA from 1 species
GGCGAACGGGUGAGUAACACGUAGGUGACCUGCCGCGCAGAGGGGGAUAACGACUGGAAACGGUCGCUAAUACCGCAUGGUACUAGGGGGUAGGGAUACCCUUUGGUUAAAACUUUGGUGCUGCGCGAGGGGCCUGCGUCCGAUUAGUUAGUUGGUGAGGUAACGGCUCACCAAGACUGUGAUCGGUAGCUAGUCUGAGAGGAUGAUUAGCCACACGGGAACUGAGACACGGUCCCGACUCCUACGGGGGGCAGCAGUGAGGAAUAUUGCACAAUGGACGCAAGUCUGAUGCAGCAACGCCGCGUGGAGGAUGAAGGUCUUUGGAUUGUAAACUCCUUUUCUCAGGGAAGAGAAUGGACGGUACCUGAGGAAUAAGUCACGGCUAACUACGUGCCAGCAGCCGCGGUAAUACGUAGGUGGCGAGCGUUAUCCGGAAUUACUGGGCGUAAAGCGCACGCAGGCGGUCUCUUAAGUUUGACGCGAAAGCUCCCGGCUUAACUGGGAGAGGUCGUUGAAUACUGGGGGACUUGAGGCAAUGAGAGGGAUGCAGAAUUCCAGGUGUAGUGGUGGAAUGCGUAGAUAUCUGGAGGAAUACCAGUGGCGAAAGCGGCA